UACGUAGGUGGCAAGCGUUGUCCGGAUUUAUUGGGCGUAAAGCGUGCGCAGGCGGUUUGCUAAGAGAGAUGUGAAAUCCCCGGGCUUAACCUGGGAACUGCGUUUCUAACUGGCAGGCUUGAGUGUGGCAGAGGGGGGUGGAAUUCCACGUGUAGCAGUGAAAUGCGUAGAGAUGUGGAGGAACACCGAUGGCGAAGGCAGCCCCCUGGGCUAACACUGACGCUCAUGCACGAAAGCGUGGGGAGCAAACAGG
rnacentral:rRNA from 1 species